rfam:Chelonia mydas contig191640, whole genome shotgun sequence.
ACCAGAAUGGCCAGGAGGUUAAGGCGUUGAACUUAAGUUCUAAUAGACGUGUGUCUGUGUGGGUUCAAUCCCCACUUCUGGUA